ensembl:lncRNA
AACCCAUGUGGGUCCCUCUCCAUUUCAGGUCAAACCCAUAUCUUUUCAAGAACAAAUUGACAUUCCUAAUUAGUUUGCACAGUCAGUGUUUUUGUUACAGCGUGUGUUACUAUGCUGCUAUUAUUUGAGAAGAAACCAAGGCAACGAUGUUGCGAUCUAAACUGCUGACAAUAUGUCAGUGUGUGACUCAGUACAUCAGGUCCUCCUUGCCGGAGUUGAAUCUGUUGCAUAGGUCGAUCAAUUAGCUAUCGGUUGCUUAGCUGUUGUCAAUACUACUACUGUGGGAGUUUCCGAUGCCUAACGUUACUGUGCAAGUCUGCCCACCGUAUUUCUGCUUUAGGCUUUGUAAAUAUCGGAGUCAAAAAUGUGUACGUUUUUAAUGCUGAAUCAGUGUUUGGUGCAAAAUGCUGUCUUCAGACAGUUGUUGUGGUGUUUCUUGCUAUGGCUUGCCUGCAAAUAGGAAAAAUAAAAGUUGUUUUAUAUCGACUUGGAAGGGAAUAACAGAUCUACUUGUUGGCUUGGCCAGCUUCAGCGUGCGGUUAAGCAACACUCCCUAUGUAGUGUAGCUUUGCUUUCAUCUGCAAUGUUACUGGUUGCUACCUAGAUGGCAGGCUCUGCCUAUUUCGAAAGGGAGUGGCUUGUGCACAAUAUCUUCUAAAACGAUCAACCGUAUUAAGGGUGUUUUGCGUUUCUUACUUUCAUUUUCUGUAUUUUGCACUUUGUCACUAGACACACCAUUUAAUACGGUUUUGUUUGAUUUAGCAAAAUGCAGGCUUGAGUUUUAGGCUUUGUUCUUUGUACAGUUUCUCAUUUUAAAUUAAAAGGCCAAACUAAUAAAUAGAUGUAUUUAUUUAUCUUUUAUUAUUUUAAAAUGUUCUUGUAAUAUAGGCAUCCUGUUCUGUUGAUAUGAAAUUAGAUAGUGGUUCUGGUAUGUAGCUUUUCUAAACCUUGUUUUAAGUGACUAAGAGAAAUUAAUAGAGCUUAUUGAAGUGUGAUCGCUGCUGUGGUAUCUAAAUAAAAUCCUCUUUGACAUUUCA